rnacentral:snoRNA from 1 species
UUGCACAAUGAACAGCCAAGCGAGCUCUCUAGUUCCCUUGGCAUAACUCUGUGCUAGAAUAAGCUGUGCUUUACCCUCUGCAUUGGAAGGAUUUUUCCCUUUUAUAUGUAUUCAAAAGGACAGUACAAGC